rnacentral:rRNA from 1 species
UACGUAGGGUGCAAGCGUUGUCCGGAAUUAUUGGGCGUAAAGAGCUCGUAGGCGGUCUGUCGCGUCGGCUGUGAAAACCCGGAGCUCAACUCCGGGCCUGCAGUCGAUACGGGCAGACUGGAGUUCGGCAGGGGAGACUGGAAUUCCUGGUGUAGCGGUGAAAUGCGCAGAUAUCAGGAGGAACACCGGUGGCGAAGGCGGUUCUCUGGGCCUGUACUGACGCUGAGGAGCGAAAGCGUGGGGAGCGAACAGG